CAUUGCACGGAAGUAUUUUGGAUACGAAGGAGGAGCCGUUGGUUUGACGAAGAUAAGCUCGCCUCGGUUUCCUCCCAAUUAAAUAAGCAGACGACGAUUACACUGCCAUGCUAAGGAAAAACGCCGUAUGAACCUUCAGGCGUUGCCAAAUUUCCUUUGAUAAAACAGGAAAUUCCUAGUAAACAUAUAGAUAUUUUCCUUUCAAUUUUUCAGAUAAUUUUCUACGCAAUUUCACCUAGAGCUCCUGAAAAUUCCAAGGGAAAAUAUUCAUAACUUUCCUCAAAAUAAACUUUUUAUCGAAGGGAAUGUGGCAACUCUCGAAUGUUCAUACGGCGUUCUUCCUUAGCACGGCAGUACAGUAGUGGAAAUAAUGGUCGCGAAGAUGGGGGGGGGGGGGGGCAGAUUAAACAUUAGCGUACACGUGAGGUGUAAGUUCUGUUGUGAGGUUAAAAUUAAGUGCGCUUACGUAAGUGGCCGUCGCGCCGCGGUCAUGCCGAUCACAGCGUCCACUCACAAUCAACUGACAUCACAGUGUUGUGUCCAGCCGUGCAUUCCUCUUGCCAUCAUGUUUUCCGAGAGUUUUCUUCCUCUGAAAAUCUCUUUACAGAUGAAAAAGCUGAUCACUUCCAUAUAUUAUUAGUCAUCAUGAGAACCAUCAAGAACCAUAUAUAAUCGAUCAUCAUCAAGUGAAUUUAAGUGUUAACUUACAUUAACAAGUUCUGCCUCGGUCAAUUAAUUACGUUGUUAUGAAAAGUAGGACAUCUCAAAUGAACAUACUUUCGGGAAAAGGAACCAUGUGCAUAGGUUUCGCGUACUUCAUAAUUCCUUUUAAAUUCAAUGCAUUUGCAACUAAUUUUCUUUAGCUUAAAUGCGUCUUAAUAUAGUUUCUUACGUCAUCACUUGUAAGUUACAUAAUUUUUUUUGCUUACCGAAGUUUGCUUUGUGUAUAGCAAAAAAGUCUCCCAAAUCUAGAUGAUGAGCAGUAUAACUUUGAGUUACUUUAUUUGAAAGACGGUUUACCUCGUACUGAUUUCCCACACGUCUGGCCAUGGCUGAUUCUCAACCGCUGAAUUUUUUAUCAACUCUAAGAGCCUGGUUCUGGCAACCAAGGCACCCCAUUACAACGCCCGUUGAAUCUGCAAACCCUUAAAAUUGCACAGGGCAAAAAUACCUCAGUUUUACAAACUGAUAGAUUCGACAGGCUCCUUCAGCCUAGUUUUAAAUAGUUUUUCAUCUUUGAUUGACAUUCUUAUAAUCUGCCUUCAGAAAAUAUGACGGGCGCAAAAUAAUUACGCCGAAAACACUUAAUGCAACUUGUUGAACGCAUUAUUAGAUUUCCAUGUUGCGUGUGCUCACACAUGAAGACGCCCGUCUGGUUAUAUUCUUGCCAGAGUAGCAAAUUGCGAUGCGUAAAUAUAAAAAUCUAUCCUCGGUGAGGCAGCGCGAGGUCCUCACAUAAAUCGAUAUUUGUAACGGAUUUAAAUGGAUGAAAACAGUGUUGCUAACUUGCAAAUUCGCCAGUGCCUUUUGUCAGCCGAGCCACGUUAUAGGAGGAAGCCAUCCAAAAAUGAGGAAGGUAUGGAAAACCGUAUAGUAUAAAAUACGAGCGUCACAUUUUCAGAAACACAAUGAGUCCGCAACUUUAAGUAUUGGUUGAAAGUGCAAGAGAAUCCUAGUAGCGAUGUUUAAAUGCAAAUUUUUAAAUUCACCAGAUAUUCAUAUUGCAUAUAUACACACAAGAAGACUCUCUAAUUAUUUUUGUCAAAGUAGCAAACCUCGAUCCGACGUAACGAUAUCUGCAGCGCCCUAAAUGUUUCGUUUAUGCAGUACGCACACCUACAGGGCAUGACAAGUUGCAUCAAGCCGUUGUUGUCAUAAUUAAGCUAUGUCUGUUGAUCAAAACACCAAUUCGAGUCGACUUAUUUAUGAUUAUGAUUAUUAUAUCACCGCAAAGGAAGAGCCGUAAUCCCUGGGAGUUUUAAAAGGGACGGCACGUUUUCCCAAAAAAUUGUGGCGUACGAAAACGCUGAAAGAUGUCGAACAAAAUCGAAUUUAUGGCGGGGCUUGAUACACUUUAAAACUGCAAUUUAAGGAAAAACUACUCAGAGUAUUUGUAUAGAUUCGAAAAUAUUCGAUUGAAUUUAAAGUUUACCAGCUGCACAACCAAUAAACUGAAUCGAUCGCAAUCCAUGCAUUUUAUAGGAUACAUCAAUUUUUGAGUCUCCAUCCGAAACUUAUGCAUCAUUUUUCUCACCUCUCUUAAUAAAUUUUCAUCAGGGAAUUGAAGUCAUUUUUGUCCUUUCCUCAUGAACGAUCAAAAUUAAGUCAGAGAAAGGAAUCAAAUCAGAUUUCGAUAACUAUUCAGAUGUCUCAUCAGUAAAACUGAACACGGAGAAAGGAACUGCAUUGAUUCUUACUAAGCAUCUCAUCAAGCAGGACUGCUUAGAAGGAAGGCAAUUUUUUCUUG
rnacentral:lncRNA from 1 species